rnacentral:rRNA from 1 species
GACGAACGCUGGCGGCGUGCUUAACACAUGCAAGUCGAACGGAAAGGCCCUGCUUUUGUGGGGUGCUCGAGUGGCGAACGGGUGAGUAACACGUGAGUAACCUGCCCUUGACUUUGGGAUAACUUCAGGAAACUGGGGCUAAUACCGGCUAGGAGCUCCUGCUGCAUGGUGGGGGUUGGAAAGUUUCGGCGGUUGGGGAUGGACUCGCGGCUUAUCAGCUUGUUGGUGGGGUAGUGGCUUACCAAGGCUUUGACAGGUAGCCGGCCUGAGAGGGUGACCGGCCACAUUGGGACUGAGAUACGGCCCAGACUCCUACGGGAGGCAGCAGUGGGGAAUAUUGCACAAUGGGCGGAAGCCUGAUGCAGAAACGCCGCGUGCGGGAUGACGGCCUUCGGGUUGUAAACCGCUUUCGCCUGUGACGAAGCGUGAGUGACGGUAAUGGGUAAAGAAGCACCGGCUAACUACGUG